UACGUAGGGUGCAAGCGUUGUUCGGAAUUAUUGGGCGUAAAGGGCGCGUAGGCGGUGCGGUAAGUCACCUGUGAAAUCUCCUGGCUCAACUGGGAGCUUGCAGGCGGAACUGCCGUGCUGGAGUGUGGGAGAGGUGCGUGGAAUUCCUGGUGUAGCGGUGAAAUGCGUAGAUAUCAGGAGGAACACCUGUGGCGAAAGCGGCGCACUGGACCACAACUGACGCUGAGGCGCGAAAGCUAGGGGAGCAAACAGG
rnacentral:rRNA from 1 species